rnacentral:rRNA from 1 species
GCAACCCUCGUCGUAUGUUAUAUGUGUCAUACGAGACUGCCGGUAAAAAGCCGGAGGAAGGUGAGGAUGAUGUCAAGUCAGCAUGACCUUUAUAUCCAGGGCUACACACACGCUACAAUGGUCUGUACAAUGGGUAGCCAAGCCGCGAGGCGGAGCCAAUCCUGAAAGCAGGCCUCAGUUCAGAUUGCAGUCUGCAACUCGACUGCAUGAAGCCGGAGUUGCUAGUAACCGCAGGUCAGCUAUACUGCGGUGAAUACGUUCCCGGGGCUU